rnacentral:rRNA from 1 species
UGGCAAGUCGAACGGCAGCACGGGAGCAAUCCNGGUGGCGAGUGGCGAACGGGUGAGUAAUAUAUCGGAACGUGCCCAGUCUGGGGGAUAACGUAGCGAAAGCUACGCUAAUACCGCAUACGAUCUAUGGAUGAAANCGGGGGAUCGCAAGACCUCGCGCGAUUGGAGCGGCCGAUAUCAGAUUAGGUAGUUGGUGAGGUAAAGGCUCACCAAGCCGACGAUCUGUAGCUGGUCUGAGAGGACGACCAGCCACACUGGGACUGAGACACGGCCCAGACUCCUACGGGAGGCAGCAGUGGGGAAUUUUGGACAAUGGGCGCAAGCCUGAUCCAGCAAUGCCGCGUGCAGGAUGAAGGCCUUCGGGUUGUAAACUGCUUUUGUACGGAACGAAACGGUGAGCUCUAAUACAGUUUGCUAAUGACGGUACCGUAAGAAUAAGCACCGGCUAACUACGUG